rnacentral:rRNA from 1 species
UACAUGGGGUGCAAACGUUGCUCGGAAUUAUUGGGCGUAAAGCGCACGUAGGCGGUUCGUUAAGUCGGACGUGAAAGCCUUCGGCUCAACCGAGGAAGUGCAUCCGAAACUGGCGAGCUAGAGUACGAAAGAGGGUCGCGGAAUUCCCGGUGUAGAGGUGAAAUUCGUAGAUAUCAGGAGGAACACCGGUGGCGAAGGCGGCGUCCUGGACCAACACUGACGCUGAGGAGCGAAAGCCAGGGGAGCAAACGGG